rnacentral:rRNA from 1 species
AUUGAACGCUGGCGGCAGGCCUAACACAUGCAAGUCGAGCGAGCGGCGGACGGGUGAGUAAUGUAUGGGGACUGCCCGAUAGAGGGGGAUAACUAAUGGAAACGGUGGCUAAUACCGCAUACUAUCGGAUAACCCAUAUGGGAUUAGCUAGUAGGUGGGGUAAAGGCUCACCUAGGCGCAGAUCGAUAGCUGGUCUGAGAGGAUGAUCAGCCACACUGGGACUGAGACACGGCCCAGACUCCUACGGAGGCAGAAGGGGGGAAGAGUGCACAAUGGGCGCAAGCCUGAUGCAGCCCUGCCGCGUGUAUGAAGAAGGCCUUAGGGUUGUAAAGUACUUUCAGCGUGGAGGCGUUACCCGCAGAAGAAGCACCGGCUAACUCCGUGCCAGCAGCCGCGGUAAUUC